UGCAGUGAGACAAUGAAUCCCAGAGCACAAGACCCUGUGUCAGUGAGUGAAGAAGCAGCCCGUGAUGUGUAAGCAAAGGGGCAAAGCAGCGUCUCACAGAGAAGCCCCACCUGCAACAGCAAUGUUCUGAGAGGCCUCAGCAGACACGAUGUUCUUUCUACUGUUCAUCACAGGAACAGGACUUUGCAACAGGUGUGAUAUGUGCUGGGGAAAUGCAUUUGCAGGCAGCUGAGCUUUAACAGAAUGGGAUGCUCAGUUCCAAGGGGAGAGGGAUGUUUUCAUCAGUCCCAGGGAUGAAAGCUAAGCUGCUUUACAAUGUAGUCUGAGAGAAAGUGGCUGUUAGGAAAAAAAUGUCUUUAGAAGUCAGGUGUGGAUUUGCAUUCUGUACUGACAGUUGCACAAGCUGGUAAAUCAUACAUAAUGAAUACCUUAUUAGCUUAAUUUUGUCUGUUUGGGGUCACUGUGAACAGCCCAUUAGAAAAUAGCAGUUUUCUCCAAGGGUGCCAAAUGGUUGUUAUUAUUUCUGUAAAUAAUACCGAACCUAUAACUUAUUUGAGAGCAGCUUAUUGCACUAUUCAGAGGUCAAAAUCGGAGCAUUAACUGGAUAGAUAGCUGCUUAUUGUGCUUCUCUCCCUUGAUCAUGGCAGUGUAACUUCUAGAAACGAGUUUCUUGUGUGCAAAGGGCAGAGGGGUGACCACAGGCUCAGUUUCUCCACCCCAAACCAGCCGAAAACUGUGAUAUCUCUGCAUUAUGUGGUCUUUCUGACGUCGGUGUCUG
rnacentral:lncRNA from 7 species